AGCUUUUUAUUGUGUUUCCUAAUUUAAGUAGAAAGCCUGAUUUCACAUUUUGUACUAGCAUGCUUUUUAUACCGUUAGAUGGCUUGCCUCUAUGUGGCGUCCUCGCUUGACAAUGAAAUGUUACGUUAAGUUUGCUCGUUAAAAUUCUGAAUAUGACAGUGGAUCUAAAAAAUAGUUCAAAUCUUUCCUGUCCAAUUCAAACAAACAGUGGCAGUGAGAGCUAAUGAUAGCAAAAUAUUACAAAAUCUGUUGUCAAGCUAGUGUUGAGCAAAGAGAAGCAACAGAGAAUUUGCCAAAUGACGAGGGAAAAAGCUGCCCAAUUUAAUACUUGGAUGGACCUUGGAUCUUCUGGUUUAGUUAAUCUUGCUGUUGAAGCAAAAAUGUUCAAGGAUCUCUGUAAUCACUGAUUCUGGAUGUUUGAAGCAAGGUCCAGCUGUAGGAACAAGUUGGGCAAGAUAUAAAUGUUCUGUCAACAAGGCUAUUCAAUCGAGAAUCUAUUUUUCAGGUUUGACAAUUCAAACCUAAUUAAUCCUCAGGGAGGAUUAAUUAUCCCCCUACCUGUAAAGUCGUGUAAAGUCGUCCCCAGUUUCCGUCAGUUACGUAUAAGUGUGUAGUCUACAGGGCGGAUUUUGCUCUAAUACUGGCAAUUUUAUAUGAUAUUAUCUCAAACUAAUAAUAGUACAUAACAUUGCAUAUGCCGAACCAUAACGAAGUCGAUUACAUUCACUCUUUGCUCGCUAAGAAUUUUGUACUUGGCCCGACGUGACAAACUCGUGAUCUAUUAACAAGGAAUCAACUUAAACUGAUCCUUGUCGAUGAUCUGCUGUGACACUCUGGUAACUGGUAUGGCAGUUGAUGGAUGUGAAUGAAAAUUUGAAGAAAUGAGUUUUGGUAACAAUUAAAUAAGAAAACUAAGAUUUCUAUCUAAAACGUAAAUCGUCGUAAAACUGUUUUUAUUUUCUCUUAAAACACUAAAAUAUAGAAAACUAUUGACACA